rnacentral:rRNA from 1 species
UUAACAGGAUUAGAUACCCUGGUAGUCCACGCCGUAAACGUUGGGCGCUAGAUGUGGGGACCAUUCCACGGUUUCCGUGUCGCAGCUAACGCAUUAAGCGCCCCGCCUGGGGAGUACGGCCGCAAGGCUAAAACUCAAAGGAAUUGACGGGGGCCCGCACAAGCGGCGGAGCAUGCGGAUUAAUUCGAUGCAACGCGAAGAACCUUACCAAGGCUUGACAUAUACGAGAACGGGCUAGAAAUAGUCAACUCUUUGGACACUCGUAAACAGGUGGUGCAUGGUUGUCGUCAGCUCGUGUCGUGAGAUGUUGGGUUAAGUCCCGCAACGAGCGCAACCCUCGUUCUAUGUUGCCAGCACGUAAUGGUGGGAACUCAUGGGAUACUGCCGGGGUCAACUCGGAGGAAGGUGGGGAUGACG